UAAACAUUGAUAGUACAGCACAUAUACUAUCCGCCCGGGAACUACGAGCAUUAGCUUAAAACCCAAAGGACUUGGCGGUGCUUAAGAUCCACCUAGAGGAGCCUGUUCUAGAACCGAUAAUCCCCGUUAAACCUCACCCUCUCUUGUUUAUCCCGCCUAUAUACCGCCGUCGUCAGCUUACCCUGUGAAGGUUAAAUAGUAAGCAAAAUUGGUACAACCCAAAACGUCAGGCCGAGGUGUAGCGUAUGAGAGGGGAAAAAAUGGGCUACAUUUCCUAUGUACAGGAAACACGAACAUUGUACUGAAACGUACAUUUGAAGGAGGAUUUAGCAGUAAGUAGAAAAUAGAGUGUUCUGCUGAAACUGGCUCUAAAGCGCGCACACACCGCCCGUCACUCUCCCCAAGCUUAUAACAUUACUAUAAUUAAUUUGUCAAAAUUGCAAAGGGGAGGCAAGUCGUAACAUGGUAAGUGUACCGGAAGGUGCACUUGGAUAAU
rnacentral:rRNA from 1 species